ACGCUCGACACCUACGGAGGCAGCAGUGAGGGAUAUUGGUCAAUGGGGGAAACCCUGAACCAGCAACGCCGCGUGAGGGAGUGACGGUCUUCGGAUUGUAAACCUCUGUCCUCUGUGAAGAUAAUGACGGUAGCAGAGGAGGAAGCUCCGGCUAACUACGUGUCAGCAGCCGCGGUAAUCUGAGCGGGCUGGCAAGGC
rnacentral:rRNA from 1 species